GGCGGAUUGUCAGUCAUUUUUGUAGCCACAGAAAAUAUACUGCUAUCUUUCGCCAACUGAUUAUAACUUUUAGAAAUCCAUUUGAUUUUGACCCUUGUUCUUUCGCUAGCAGAGAAGAACGAGUUACUCGUAGUUUCACAGUCAAAAUAUUAGUGUAUUUUAAAAUUACCCGUAACGUAACAAUCUCACCCUGCAAUUUAGGGGUAACGAAGGAGACGGGCAAGACGAAUGUUGCGGGCACAGAAAAUCUCAGUAUUUUCUUCAUUUGGAGAGUGAAGUCACACCGAAUAUAACAAUUUGUGAGGGUCCAAAUCCCAAUCAGAAGGACCGGCGAACCAAGAUGGCACAGUUAUGUAAUUGAAUUGGGAAAUACGUGAAAUGCAAUCCUAAGUACAUUAUCGUGAACAUUUAAGGACGGAGACGAAGCUACAUUAUGAUUCAAAUAUGGGUAAUGUAUGUGGGAAUAAAUUAACAUAAUUUGUCGUGGCCAACCAUUCCCGAGCAGUGAGCGUUUUACAAAAUCAUCUCUGCGGCGCAAUCGUGGCAGAACACACAGGAGGUUGACCGUACAAGUCGUCAUAAUUCUAGUUAACUAAUAUACGAGCCGAGUCAUAGAGGAUGACAGAAUAUAGCCACCAUCCCGUUUAGUGUAAUAAAUUAUUGAGAUAUCUGGUAUAUUACACA